AGCUACACACGUGCUACAAUGCGUCGUACAAAGGGAUCCGAUACCGCGAGGUGGGGGAAAUCUCAGAAAGCGGCGCUCAGUUCGGAUUGGAGUCUGCAACUCGACUCCAUGAAGUUGGAAUCGCUAGUAAUCGCGGGUCAGCCAUACCGCGGUGAAUAUGUUCCUGAGCCUUGUACACACCGCCCGUCAAGCCACGAAAGCGGGGGGCGCCUAAAGUCGCUGUGCUAACCGUAGGGAGGCAGGUGCCUAGGGCGAACUUCGUGAUUGGGACUAAGUCGUAACAAGGUAGCAGUAGGAGAACCUGCGGCUGGAUCACCUCCUUU
rnacentral:rRNA from 1 species